rnacentral:rRNA from 1 species
GACGAACGCUGGCGGCGCGCUUAACACAUGCAAGUCGAGCGAGAACCAGCCCUUCGGGGCUGGGGAAAGCGGCGAACGGGUGAGUAACACGUGGGUAAUCUGCCCUCGGCACCGGAAUAGCCCGGGGAAACCCGGAUUAAUGCCGGAUGGCCUCUCCGCCCUUCGGGGCGGUGAGAAAAGGUAGCUUCGGCCUCCGGCCGAGGCUGAGCCCGCGGCCGAUUAGCGUGUCGGUGAGGGAACGGCUCACCAAGGCGACGAUCGGUAGCUGGUCUGAGAGGACGAUCAGCCACACUGGGACUGAGACACGGCCCAGGCGCCUACGGGAGGCAGCAGUGGGGAAUCUUGCGCAAUGGGCGAAAGCAUGACGCAGCGACGCCGCGUGCGGGAAGAAGGCCCUCUGGGUUGUAAACUGCUUUUGACCGGGAAGAAAAGAAUCUUUGCGAAGAUAGUUGACGGUACCGGCAGAAUAAGCCACGGCUAACUACGUGCCAGCAGCCGCGGUAAUAC